AUUGAACGCUGGCGGCAGGCCUAACACAUGCAAGUCGAACGAGUCGCGGACGGGUGAGUAAUGUCUGGGACACUGCCUGAUGGAGGGGGUUAACUACUGGAACCGGAUGCUAAUACCGCAUAGCUUCACAUGUGCCUAGAUGGGCUUUGCUUGUUGGUGGGGUAACGGCUAACCAAGGCGACGAUCCCUAGCUGGUCUGAGAGGAUGACCAGCCACACUGGAAUGGAGACACGGUCCAGAUUCCUACGGGAGGCAGCAGUGGGGAAUAUUGCACAAUGGGCGCAAGCCUGAUGCAGCCAUGCCGCGGGUAUGAAGAAGUCCUUCGGUUUGUAAAGUACUUUCAGCGGGGAGGCGUUACCCGCAGAAGAAGCACCGGCUAACUCCGUGCCAGCAGCCGCGGUAAUUC
rnacentral:rRNA from 1 species